GACGAACGCUGGCGGCGUGCUUAACACAUGCAAGUCGAACGGAAAGGCCCUGCUUUUGUGGGGUGCCCGAGUGGCGAACGGGUGAGUAACACGUGAGUAACCUGCCCUUGACUUUGGGAUAACUUCAGGAAACUGGGGCUAAUACCGGAUAGGAGCUCCUGCUGCAUGGUGGGGGUUGGAAAGUUUCGGCGGUUGGGGAUGGACUCGCGGCUUAUCAGCUUGUUGGUGGGGUAGUGGAUUACCGAGGCAUUGACGGGUAGCCGGCAUGAGAGGGUGGCCGGCCACAUUGGGACUGCGGUACGGCCCAGUGUCCUACGGGAGGCAGCAGUGGGAAAUCUUGCACAGUGGGCGGACGCCGGAUGCGACAGCGUCGCGUGCGGGAUGACGGCCUUCGGGUUGUGAACCGCUUUCGCCUGAGACGAAGCGUGAGUGACGGUAAUGAGUAAAGAAGCACCGGCUAACUACGUG
rnacentral:rRNA from 1 species